UACGGAGGGGGCUAGCGUUGUUCGGAAUUACUGGGCGUAAAGCGCACGUAGGCGGCUUUGUAAGUUAGAGGUGAAAGCCCAGGGCUUAACCCCGGGUCGGCCGUGCGAACUGUCGAGCUGGAGCACUGUAGAGGCAGGUGGAAUUCCGGGUGUAGCGGUGGAAUGCGUAGAGAUCCGGAAGAACACCGGUGGCGAAGGCGGCCUGCUGGGCAGUGGCUGACGCUGAGGCGCGACAGCGUGGGGAGCAAACAGG
rnacentral:rRNA from 1 species